GGAUGCUACACACAGCUGUGGGGAGCUCCACUGUCUAGGACAUUAGAGACACACAAUCACCUGAAGGAAAAUCACAUCCUGAAUUUUCUUUGAUAAUGGGUUGGCCCUCGGACUCUGGAAUCUGGGUAAUAUUUUGGCGGCUGGUCCUAUACCUCUGACAUCAUUUCUUCAUUCCUUUGGCAUUCACUGCAGCAGUGGAAAGAUUCGGUUAGAAUCAGAGAACGGAUUUUGGCUCUUACAACUUGCUGUGUGGCCUGGGGUAAGUCCCUUGCCAUCUCUGAACCUCAGGAAUAGGACUAGAUUCUUGGCCACACCAAUGUCAUUCACGGAGUUCAAACAGUUAUUCAGACAACUCCCCAUUAACCAGGAGAUUUUUACCCCCAUGAUGAAACCCUAAAGGCUGGUAUCCUUUAUAAAGUCUGUAGUUUGA
rnacentral:lncRNA from 1 species